UAGGGAAUAUUAGAAAUGGACGAAAGUCUGAUCUAGCAACACCGCGUGUGCGAAGAAGGCCUUCGGGUCGUAAAGCACUUUUUGGAAGGAAUAGGAAGGAAUGUACUUCCAGAAUAAGUCUCGGCUAACUACGUGCCAGCAGCCGCGGUAACACGUAGGAGGCAAACGUUAUCCGGAUUUACUGGGCGUAAAGCGCGUGUAGGUGGUACUGUAAGUAGGGCGUGAAAGCUCCUGGCUCAACUGGGAGAGGCCGUUCUAAACUACAGGACUAGAGGAUGGUAGAGGGAGGUGGAAUUCCAGGUGUAGCGGUGGAAUGCGCAGAUAUCUGGAGGAACACCGGUGGCGAAGGCGGCCUCCUGGACCAUUCCUGACACUCAGACGCGAAAGCUAGGGUAGCAAACGG
rnacentral:rRNA from 1 species